GUGAGGAAUUUUCCGCAAUGGGCGAAAGCCUGACGGAGCAAUGCCGCGUGAAGGAUGAAGGCCUAUGGGUUGUAAACUUCUUUUCUCAGAAAAGAAUUAUGACGGUAUCUGAGGAAUAAGCAUCGGCUAACUCUGUGCCAGCAGCCGCGGUAAGACAGAGGAUGCAAGCGUUAUCCGGAAUGAUUGGGCGUAAAGCGUCUGUAGGUUGUUUACAAAGUAUUCUGUCAAAGAUUAGGGCUUAACCCUAGAUAGGCAGAAUAAACUUUUAAGCUAGGGUUUGGUAGAGGGAGAGGGAAUUCCCGGUGGAGCGGUGAAAUGCGUAGAUCUCGGGAGGAACACCAAAGGCGAAGGCACGCUGCUGGGCCAAUACUAACACUGAGGGACGAAAGCGAGGGGAGCAAAUGGGAUUAGAAACCCGAGUAGUCC
rnacentral:rRNA from 1 species